AUUGAACGCUGGCGGCAUGCUUUACACAUGCAAGUCGGACGGCAGCACAGAGAAGCUUGCUUCUUGGGUGGCGAGUGGCGAACGGGUGAGUAACAUAUCGGAACGUACCGAGCAGUGGGGGAUAACUAAUCGAAAGAUUAGCUAAUACCGCAUAUAUUCUGAGGAAGAAAGCAGGGGACCAUUUGGCCUUGCGCUGUUUGAGCGGCCGAUAUCUGAUUAGCUAGUUGGUGGGGUAAAGGCCUACCAAGGCGACGAUCAGUAGCGGGUCUGAGAGGAUGAUCCGCCACACUGGGACUGAGACACGGCCCAGACUCCUACGGGAGGCAGCAGUGGGGAAUUUUGGACAAUGGGCGCAAGCCUGAUCCAGCCAUGCCGCGUGUCUGAAGAAAGGGCUUCGGGUUGUAAAGGACUUUUGUCAGGGAAGAAAAGGAUAGGGUUAAUACCCCUGUCUGAUGACGUACCUGAAGAAUAA
rnacentral:rRNA from 1 species